rnacentral:rRNA from 1 species
CCUACGGGUGGCAGCAGUAGGGAAUUUUUCACAAUGGGCGAAAGCCUGAUGGAGCAACGCCGCGUGCAGGAUGAAGGCCUUCGGGUUGUAAACUGCUUUUAUAAGCGAGCAAUAUGAGGGUAACUUAUGAAUAAGGAUCGGCUAACUACGUGCCAGAAGCCGCGGUCAUACGUAGGAUCCGAGCAUUAUCCGGAGUGACUGGGUGUAAAGAGUUGCGUAGGUGGCAUAAUAAGUAGCUAGUGAAAUCUGGUGGCUCAACCAUUCAGACUAUUAGCUAAACUGUUAAGCUCGAGACCGUUAGGGGUAACUGGAAUUUCUAGUGUAGGAGUGAAAUCCGUAGAUAUUAGAAGGAACACCAAUAGCGUAGGCAGGUUGCUGGGACGGUUCUGACACUAAGGCACGAAAGCGUAGGGAGCAAACGGGAUUAGAUACCCGUGUAGUC